rnacentral:lncRNA from 13 species
AUGUUUAUUUUUGAACCAUUCCAUUGUAGAUUUUGCUUUAUGUUUUGGAUCAUUGUCUUGUUGGAAGACAAAUCUCCGUCCCAGUCUCAGGUCUUUUGCAGACUCCNNNNNNNNNNGGCCGUCUCUAGCUAUCUCUAUAAAGGUAAGAGUCCUUUCCUCUCCACCCGGCCGUCUCUAGCUAUCUCUAACGGUAAGAGUCCUUUCCUCUCCACCCUGCCGUCUCCUCCAGCUAUCUCUAUAAUAGCUCUGCUUUGUCUUUUUAAAAUGGCAGCUGGAACCCACAGGCUACCCAACAUUCCAAAGCUCCAAACUGAUUGGCUCUUCAUUAAAAUAUUUUACUAUAUGCAUCAUCACAGUUUGGGAACAAUCACUGUGGUAGAUUUACUUUGUGUUUCAAUGGUGAGCCAGAGGAGAUUUCAUCAUAUGUUCAUGUCCAAAUUACAUCAUUUGAGAAUAAGAUGCAAAAUUGAUCUGAAGACAAAGUCCUUUCCAUUUUGAGCAAUCACUACAUUCCCUGUGUAGGUGGCAGACCGGUGCUGAACACAUUCCCUGUGUAGGUAGCAGACCGGUGCUGAACACAUUCCCUGUGUAGGUAGCAGACCGGUGCUGAACACAUUCCCUGUGUAGGUAGCAGACCGGUGCUGAACACAUUCCCUGUGUAGGUAGCAGACCGGUGCUGAACACAUUCCCUGCUUAGGUAGNNNNNNNNNNAACUCACAUGUUGCAGCCCUGAAGGGUAUGGGAUUAACAUGAGGACUAUGAUUUACCUCACUCUGAGGAUACUGUGUGUAUAUGUGUUGGUGCAUUCAUGUGUGUGUGUGUCUUCAUGCUUACAUGUGGAUUUCAGGGUGGAGGUUGUUCAGACCAGGAAUCAGACUUGUCUAAAUAGAUAAGUCCUAUCAUUGUUGGGGGAGAGGAGAGAGAAGGAGGAGAAAAGGAGUGAAGAGGGGAGAGAUAAGGAGGAGAGGAGAGAGAAGGAGGAGAAAAGGAGCGAAGAGGGGAGAGAGAAGGAGGAGAGGAGAGAGAAGGAGGAGANNNNNNNNNNNNNNNNNNNNNNNNNNNNNNNNNNNNNNNNNNNNNNNNNNNNNNNNNNNNNNNNNNNNNNNNNNNNNNNNNNNNNNNNNNNNNNNNNNNNNNNNNNNNNNNNNNNNNNNNNNAGGAGAGAGAAGGAGGAGAAAAGGAGCGAAGAGGGGAGAGAGAAGGAAGAGAGGAGGAGAAAAGGAGCGGAGAGGGGAGAGAGAGGGAGGAGAAAAGGAGUGAAGAGGGGAGAGAGAAGGAGGAGAGGAGAGAGAAGGAGGAGAAAAGGAGCGAAGAGGGGAGAGAGAAGGAGGAGAAGAGGAGCGGAGAGAGGAGAGGAGAGAGAAGGAGAAGAGGAGCAAAGAAGGGAGAGAGAAGGAGAGAGGAGGAGAGAGAAGAGGGGAGAGAGGAAGAGAGGAGAAGGGAGAGAGAGGGAGGAGGAGAGAGAAGGAGGAGGAGAGGAGCAGAGAGAGAAGAAGAGGAGAGAGAAGGAGGAGAGGAGAGAAUAUUUUUACAUCCUAUGAGCUUCAGUCCUGUUCUGUGAGCUUGUGUGGCCUACCGCUUUGCAGCUCAGACGCUGUUGCUCCUGAACGUUUCCACUUCACAAUAACAGCACUUACAGUUGAAGGGGCAGCUCUAGCAGGACUGACUUGUUGGAAAGGUGUCCUCCUCCUAUGACGGUGCCAUGUUGAAAAUCACUGAGCUUUACAGUAAGGCCAUUUCACUGCUAAUGUCUAUGUCCUCGAUUGUAUACACCUGUCAGCAACGGGUGAGGCUGAAAUAGCGAAUCCACUCAUUUGAAGAGGUGUCCACAUACUUUUGCAUAUAUAGUUUAUUUAGAUGCUAUUUAUAAACGUUUUUUUAAGUUACGCAUCAAAUAGCCUAACAAUGAGGAGAAAGGGAGUCGGUUUGAGGACAAACCUAGCCAAUAUUGUUGAACUCAGCUGGUUUUAUCUGGCUAAUAGCCAAAAUAAAUGGGAUGCAUUAUUCACUGUAAAUUCAUUUAAAUCAAAUCCAACUUAAGAGGGUCUCCUGAAGUCCUAGUUUUUUGUGUGCAAAUGUUUUUACCAUGGCCUGUAGGUCCAGGUUGCAGGCCCAACUGUUUUCUAUGCUGAGUAUUGCCAACCCAGACAUUCUUUCCUGAGACAUUGUGCAUUUUAGUCCGAUGUCCAUUGCGAUGCCCAGUUUCCCUGAUGUUGCUACGGCAAUCAAGCUGUUUUUACCUGCCCUGUAACUGUCGCUUCUGCAGAGAGAUCGUUUUCUUAACUAAAACUCAUAAAGAACUUUCUAAGAGGCAUUAGGCUCUCGGUCUGAUAUUCGCUUUUGAACACCUGAAUAAGCUCCACUCAUUGCACUGGCGCCAUCGUAGCCUUGACCACAGCAUUUGUUCACCGAUAUCCUCUUAUACGGUCAAUCAAAAGUACGUCAAGUCCUGAGGCACUUUUUCAGUCAUGUCCUGAAACAAACACUUUGCUUCCUACUACAUCUGGAAAUGUAAAAGAUGCAUGACUGACUUUAGGGAGGGUUACUAUCAAAAGGAUUUACUGAAUUUAAAAAAUCACAUCCGUGGGCCCCCAGAGCUCGUGGGCCUCGUGCCUUGCGGGUGCUGCGGGUGUGUCCAGUACGUCAAUGUAUGUAUGUCAUCAGUAUACAAUUUCAAAACUUCGUCCAGCCAUUGGUAGCUAUGAGACCUUAUCAACGGCUGUGCAUCGUGGACCUAAAAUUAGUCUCCUUUAGAAUGGAUUCACAACAUACAGGCUACAACCAUAUGAAUACAGACAAUAUACUUCUUAUACAGUAGGCUGAGUAGCGGUGACAUGUAGACGGAUUCUCUGGGUUGUAUUGGGAUGCGCUGCAGAACUGCAUCUGUAGAGGGAGGAAUGAGAGAGAUGCAGAUCGGUGGAAAAGACACCGGUCAGGCACCGAG